CAGAGAACUUGCCCUUCGGGGUAGAUCUCCCACCCUUUGUUUACAUUACCUUUGUUGCUUUGGCGGGCCCGUCUUACGACCACCGGCUUCGGCUGGUCAGUGCCCGCCAGAGGACCCCAAACUCUUUUGUUAAUGUCGUCUGAGUACUAUAUAAUAGUUA
rnacentral:misc_RNA from 1 species